rnacentral:rRNA from 1 species
GCUCUGUGGGAUCAGUGGCGAACGGGUGCAGUAACACGUGAGCAACCUACCCCUGACUCUGGGAUAAGCGCUGGAAACGGCGUCUAAUACUGGAUACGAGUGGCGACCGCAUGGUCAGCUACUGGAAAGAUUUAUUGGUUGGGGAUGGGCUCGCGGCCUAUCAGCUUGUUGGUGAGGUAAUGGCUCACCAAGGCGUCGACGGGUAGCCGGCCUGAGAGGGUGACCGGCCACACUGGGACUGAGACACGGCCCAGACUCCUACGGGAGGCAGCAGUGGGGAAUAUUGCACAAUGGGCGCAAGCCUGAUGCAGCAACGCCGCGUGAGGGAUGACGGCCUUCGGGUUGUAAACCUCUUUUAGCAGGGAAGAAGCGAAAGUGACGGUACCUGCAGAAAAAGCGCCGGCUAACUACGUGCCAGCAGCCGCGGUAAUACGUAGGGCGCAAGCGUUAUCCGGAAUUAUUGGGCGUAAAGAGCUCGUAGGCGGUUUGUCGCGUCUGCUGUGAAAUCCGGAGGCUCAACCUCCGGCCUGCAGUGGGUACGGGCAGACUAGAGUGCGGUAGGGGAGAUUGGAAUUCCUGGUGUAGCGGUGGAAUGCGCAGAUAU